GCGCCGUGUCCGUAGUAGCGCCUCAGGUGCGCGCACCCAGGAGGGAUGCGCGAGGGCCGGUUAGCUCAGUUGGUUAGAGCGUGGUGCUAAUAACGCCAAGUGGCGGAUGGCAACACGGAAGCGAACGCGGUGGCCCCCGGCGGGAAGCUUGACUUAGGCGAUCAGGCGGCGACAGCGACCUUGAGCCGACGCGGGACAUGUCCCCACGCCGCCCGGGCGCAGGGACAGCCGGCACCCGCAGCUCAGGAACCCGCGACAGGAAUCCUCAUUUCAAUGCCAAGAUCAGAUGGAACAAAUAUGUAUGUAAGAAGGUGAAGCUCCUUCAGUACUCACCGUCCUCUCCGAAGCUGCUGCCAUAGCUUUUCCUCUGGCGUGAAGGAGUCAUGGCGGUGCUUUUUCACAAUGGGAAUGUAA